rnacentral:tRNA from 1 species
GCCAGCAUGGUGUAGUGGUUUGAACACUGGACUAUGACCCUGGAGACAAGGGUUCAAAUCCCACCUUGGCC